rnacentral:rRNA from 1 species
CCUGUACUAUCCUGCCCAGAGCAUCCCUACUAAUCUUAUCUGAUCUUGGAAGAUAAGCAGGGUCAGGCUUUGUUAGUACUUGGAUAGGAGACUGUUUGGGAUUCUUCCAUAAUCAAGA